ACAUGCUUAUAGCGUAGCAUUAAUGCAUUAGAUUCCAUUAUAACUUUGCAGUUAAACACGCUCAAGCUAAAAUAGUAUUGGGAUGGGUGACCACCCAAGAAGUCCUAAUGUUUUACAUGCU
rfam:Picea glauca, whole genome shotgun sequence.